rnacentral:rRNA from 1 species
UACGAAGGGGGCUAGCGUUGCUCGGAAUCACUGGGCGUAAAGCGCACGUAGGCGGCUUUAUAAGUCGGGGGUGAAAGCCUGUGGCUCAACCACAGAAUUGCCUUCGAUACUGUAGAGCUUGAGACCGGAAGAGGUAAGUGGAACUGCGAGUGUAGAGGUGAAAUUCGUAGAUAUUAGGAAGAACACCAGUGGCGAAGGCGGCUCACUGGUCCGGUACUGACGCUGAGGUGCGAAAGCGUGGGGAGCAAACAGG